rnacentral:rRNA from 1 species
GAUGAACGCUGGCGGCGUGCUUAACACAUGCAAGUCGAACGAAGCACCUUAUUCUGAUUUCUUCGGAAUGAAAAAUUUGGUGACUGAGUGGUGGACGGGUGAGUAACGCGUGGGUAACCUGCCUCAUACAGGGGGAUAACAGUUAGAAAUGACUGCUAAUACCGCAUAAGACCACAGCACCGCAUGGUGCAGGGGUAAAACCUCCGGUGGUAUGAGAUGGACCCGCGUCUGAUUAGGUAGUUGGUGGGGUAACGGCCUACCAAGCCGACGAUCAGUAGCCGACCUGAGAGGGUGACCGGCCACAUUGGGACUGAGACACGGCCCAAACUCCUACGGGAGGCAGCAGUGGGGAAUAUUGCACAAUGGGGGAAACCCUGAUGCAGCGACGCCGCGUGAGCGAUGAAGUAUUUCGGUAUGUAAAGCUCUAUCAGCAGGGAAGAAAAUGACGGUACCUGACUAAGAAGCACCGGCUAAAUACGUGCCAGCCGCCGCGGUAA